rnacentral:lncRNA from 1 species
GUGACAGCGGGAGCUCAUUCGAGAAUUCCUCAGAGAGAGAAGACUGUAAUAAUGGCGAACCCCCUAGGAAGAUAAUACCAGAGAAGAAUUCACUUAGACAGACUUACAACAGCUGUGCCAGGCUCUGCAUAAACCAAGAGACAGUAUGUCUAACAAGCACUGCUAUGAAGACUGAAAAUUGUGUGGCCAAAACAAAACUUGCCAAUGGCACCUCCAGCAUGAUUGUGCCCAAGCAGCGGAAACUCUCAGCAAGCUAUGAGAAGGAAAAGGAGCUGUGUGUCAAGUACUUUGAGCAGUGGUCAGAGUCUGAUCAAGUGGAAUUUGUAGAACACCUUAUAUCUCAAAUGUGUCAUUACCAGCAUGGGCACAUCAACUCCUAUCUAAAGCC